ensembl:snoRNA
GUCCACUGAUGAGACCAUGGCAAUUUUUAUGAUUGGUCAGACCGAUGGGCUGCAGUCUCUGGUCUGCUGUUUGGUGGGUAAUCUUGGUAAUGCAAUGGAGUUUUAUUGCAGGACUGUAAGGGCCCACGCAUAGUCAAAUCGUCACUUUCUCCAACAUUGUUCCCCUCAAAAGAAAUUGAGUGGGAUUAAUAGGGAGAUGACACACAAUGUGUGAAUGUGUUUGUACCAGCUGGCCAGAGGCUGUGGUCUUUGUCUGGGUUUGACUGGUAUGAAUUACUGUCUUUGGUAACCUGAGGACA